rnacentral:rRNA from 1 species
GGUUCAUUCAAAUUUCUGCCCUAUCAACUUUCGAUGGUAAGGUAUUGGCUUACCAUGGUUUCAACGGGUAACGGGGAAUUAGGGUUCGAUUCCGGAGAGGGAGCCUGAGAAACGGCUACCACAUCCAAGGAAGGCAGCAGGCGCGCAAAUUACCCAAUCCCGACCGGGGAGGUAGUGACAAUAAAUACUGAUACAGGGCUCUUUUGGGUCUUGUAAUUGGAAUGAGUACAAUUUAAACCUCUUAACGAGGAACAAUUGGAGGGCAAGUCUGGUGCCAGCAGCCGAGGUAAUUCCAGCUCCAAUAGCGUAUAUUAAAGUUGUAGCAGUUAACAAGCUCGUAGUUG